rnacentral:tRNA from 1 species
GGGCGCGUAGCUCAAUGGUAGAGCAGUGGCCUUUUAAGCCAUUGGUUCUCGGUUCGAAUCCGAGCGCGCUCA